rnacentral:rRNA from 1 species
GGGGAAUAUUGGACAAUGGGGGCAACCCUGAUCCAGCGAUGCCGCGUGUGUGAAGAAGGCCUUCGGGUUGUAAAGCACUUUAGUUGGGGAAGAAGUAAGGUGGUUGAAAAGGCCACGUUAUUGACGGUACGCAAAGAAUAAGCACCGGCUAACUCUGUGCCAGCAGCCGCGGUAAUACAGAGGGUGCAAGCGUUAAUCGGAGUUACUGGGCGUAAAGGGCGCGUAGGCGGUUGUUUAAGUGAGAUGUGAAAUCCCUGGGCUUAACCUAGGAAUAGCAUUUUAGACUAGAUGACUGGAGUACAGUAGAGGGUAGCGGAAUUUCCGGUGUAGCGGUGAAAUGCGUAGAGAUCGGAAGGAACAUCCGUGGCGAAGGCGGCUACCUGGACUGAAACUGACGCUGAGGCGCGAGAGCGUGGGGAGCAAAC